rnacentral:tRNA from 1 species
GACCCCAUCGUCUAACGGUUAGGACAUCGCCCUCUCACGGCGACAAUACGGGUUCGAAUCCCGUUGGGGUCGCCA